UCCGCGGGGAACGGGAGCGGGAGCGGCACCGCCCCGGGGCGGCCGCAGCCAAGGGAACCAAUGGAGCCUGGUGCGCGCCGGGAGAGGCACCCGCGGGAUGAAUCAAGCACCGCUGCAAAAUGGCACCUCCGCGCCCUUCGGGGGUGCCAGGACAGGCAGGGCAGCGACCGGCAGCCCCAGGGGGCACGGCAGGGAGCGGAUCUCCCCGAUCCCUCCGUCUGACGUGGCCCGUGCACCAGGAGUGCUCUCCAAGCAUGUGUGAACGGUCUUUGCCAGAGACAGCAAAAAUGGACUCUUGAUCUGACUCAGUACAGCAAGGAUUUACACCGUGGGGCUGACCACCAUCCUGACAUUCAGGGUGCCAGGACACCUCUCCUUGUGCACAGCCUGCCUGUGCAGUCAGAGCGCAGCCCUCCCUCCCCUGCCACAGGCUGCAGCACCGCAACUGCUCUCCGUUCUGCAGCAAAGGUGCAUAAAUACUCCUUUUUCUGCACCUCCUUACAAAUAUAACACUCCAUGGCUACAGGAGAUCAAGAAAACUGAGGUGAGGAGUAAGAGAUGGCAAAAACUGACCACUUCAUCUACGGUUGUGUUCUGGAUGAGAAAGUGCAGUCCUGCCCUCUUCCCAAGGCUCCUGCCUUGUCCUGAGCCAGCUGAAGCCACAGGGCUCUUCCCUGCAGACCCCAAUGCAAGAUGCCCCCAUGACCCCAGAUGCCUCUGUAAAAAUAACCAACUGUUCCAGCCCUUUCCUUAAAGACAGACUACCAGUCUGCUUGCAAGAGGCAGGAUAUAACUGCUUGACAAAAGUGGAGCUGCUACCAAGCUGUGUGACACCAAGGCAGGAGAUGCCAAUCAAACACCAUGAUAAAAGCUACCCAGAAAGCUAAAAAAUGAGCUCUUUUCACUCCUAACUCUGACUGUGGCGAGGAAAGUAGUUCCCCGUGACCAUGAGUUCAAGCUGAGGUAUCAGCCUCAGCAAUUGUCUCCUUGCUUUGUAGCAGCUCGUUACCACAACCCCAUUCUUCCACUGGGAAAACAAACUGCAUUAACAGGGGGCCAACUCCAGCCAAACUUGCAAAGUACAGAAAGGGACCAAGAACUGGUAGAGCACAGAAGAUACCACCUCCCUGCCUCAGGGGGCUGGCUGUUUCCCAGGCAAAGAGUUCCAGAUUCGUGAACAAGAAGAGAAGCAUCAUUAAACACUGGAAUUUGUCUCCAGUAAAUCCUUCAAAGACUGUCCUUUGCAAUUUUGCUUUCCAUCCUUUCCAUCCACCCUUCCAUCCUCCAUAGUUUUGGUUUUGGUCCAUCCUAUCUUCCUCCCCUCCUGCAGGAGCCUGGGCCAUGAAGGUGAUAAGUUAAACAGUGAGUUAAAGCAAUUAAAGAAUACGCCUGUGCCAGGUACUCUUCUCCCUGGGAAAGGCAGAAGCAGAGAGACUGGGAGGACUACUCACAUAGUUUAAGUUAACUAUUAUACCAUUAUACAUCACUAAAUCAGGGCUAGAGAGAUCUGUUCUGCAGCUGUGAGACCUUUGGGAAGAGGAAUUGAAACAAGGAGCUCUGCCUAAGGGAGGAACCCUCACACUGGUCAGCAGAGAGCCUGUUCCUCAACAGCUCCUCCAUCCUGCUCCCACUGAGUCAAGCAUUUUCUAUUUCAGCUAACAGCAUUGUGUUUCCUUCCCAUCCCUUGGUAUGUGGUGUGUCUCCUUGCUGGCCUGCAGAGAGCUGUGCUGCUGUGACCAAGGCAUGACUGACUUUCACUGCAGUGAGGGGUCACUCCAGCAGAAGCUUCUUUACUCGUGACAUGUCAAGGCAGACUGUAUUCCAAAAAGACCUUAAAAGUAAUUUAUAAAUGCCAUGUGCUCUAUAGCAGUGGUAAGAAUCAAAAUGUAACACAAAUUGGCAGCU